rnacentral:rRNA from 1 species
UACCUGCAAGUCGAACGGCAGCGCGGGGCAACCUGGCGGCGAGUGGCGAACGGGUGAGUAAUAUAUCGGAACGUACCCUAGAGUGGGGGAUAACGUAGCGAAAGUUACGCUAAUACCGCAUACGAUCUAAGGAUGAAAGUGGGGGAUUCGCAAGAACCUCAUGCUCGUGGAGCGGCCGAUAUCUGAUUAGCUAGUUGGUAGGGUAAAAGCCUACCAAGGCAUCGAUCAGUAGCUGGUCUGAGAGGACGACCAGCCACACUGGAACUGAGACACGGUCCAGACUCCUACGGGAGGCAGCAGUGGGGAAUUUUGGACAAUGGGCGAAAGCCUGAUCCAGCAAUGCCGCGUGAGUGAAGAAGGCCUUCGGGUUGUAAAGCUCUUUUGUCAGGGAAGAAACGGUGGACUCUAAUACAGGCCACUAAUGACGGUACCUGAAGAAUAAGCACCGGCUAACUACGUGCCAGCAGCCGCGGUAAUACGUAGGGUGCAAGCGUUAAUCGGAAUUACUGGGCGUAAAGCGUGCGCAGGCGGUUUUGUAAGUCUGACGUGAAAUCCCCGGGCUCAACCUGGGAAUUGCGUUGGAGACUGCAAGGCUAGAGUUUGGCAGAGGGGGGUAGAAUUCCACGUGUAGCAGUGAAAUGCGUAGAUAUGUGGAGGAACACCGAUGGCGAAGGCAGCCCCCUGGGUCAAGACUGACGCUCAUGCACGAAAGCGUGGGGAGCAAACAGGAUUAGAUACCCUGGUAGUCCACGCCCUAAACGAUGUCUACUAGUUGUCGGGUCUUAAUUGACUUGGUAACGCAGCUAACGCGUGAAGUAGACCGCCUGGGGAGUACGGUCGCAGAUUAAAUAGGG